rnacentral:rRNA from 1 species
UACGAAGGGGGCUAGCGUUGCUCGGAAUUACUGGGCGUAAAGCGCACGUAGGCGGCUUUCUAAGUCGGGGGUGAAAUCCUGGAGCUCAACUCCAGAACUGCCUUCGAUACUGGAGAGCUUGAGUCCGGGAGAGGUGAGUGGAACUGGCGAGUGUAGAGGUGAAAUUCGGUAGAAUUAUUCGCAAGAACACCAGUGGCGAA